GAACCAUUAGCUCAGUUGGCAGAGCACCUGACUUUUAAUCAGGGUGUCCGGGGUUCGAAUCCCCGAUGGUUCACCA
rnacentral:tRNA from 2 species